CAGCAGCCUCAUCAUACUAAGACUCAUCCAUACAGAAGACAAAGGAGACCUGGGUUAACAUUGUCAGGGGGGCCUGUGGAACUGCCAGCCAGCUUCCCUGCAAGACUGAGUUCAUCUCAGGCUAUACCUCCUUGCGAUCCCUGGACUUCCUUGCUCACACUGAGACGUGGAUCACACCAGACACCACUUCCACCCCUACAGCCCUCUCCUCAGCCUACUCCUUCACCCACACACCCAGACCCACCGGCAUUCUUUCGAAUUUCUCUGUGUCUGUUACAUAUCCGAUGAAAUUAAACACCUAGACUACUGCAAUUCACUCCUGGCUAGUGUGCUUACAUGGAACUCAUGAGAUGCUUUAUAAAUACAGGCUCUGAACUCAACAUUCAAAGAUGCCGUCAAGUAGAUGGUCAGCCAGGAGAGUGAAAUAUCUGCCCCUCAUUCAUGCAAUCGACAUUGCGAGCACCGCGCCAAGGCAAGUGGAAACAAACACUGCAAAUGAGUCAGUCACAUGGUGGAUCCUUGAAAGGUUUCAGAAAUGAAUGUGUCAGUCAGAGACACCAACAGGAAGGAAUUCGCCAUUUAUAGCAAUUGGUUGCAGCAACAAGGAUUCUGUUGGAAGAACUAUUCCCCCUUAAACACAUAUAUGAACAUUAGAUCAAUUAACAAUAUCAAAACCUUAGCACAUAAAGAAGAGGGUGGGGUGGUGGAGGGGUCAGCGGCAGCAAAUGCAUUGACAUGACCAUAUCAGUAGAGAUGUCAUCGCUGACAUGUAGAGGACAUCAGCAUACUUGUGUUUCAAUUAAUAAGGCCUUGCUAUUUGAGUUGCAGAGUUCUUCAUGCCCAUUCUGAACUGGGGGAAACUGUACCAUGUACCUUAGUACUAUAUGAUGAUUAUGAUGUAAUAUAUGUCUGUAGUAUUUUUUUGUUGUUGUUGUUGUUUGGUUAAAUGUUAUGUUUAUUUAUGUAUAUGAAACAGUGUACUUCUUGCAAGCCGGAUUUCAGAAAGAUAUUCUGAUACUAAAGUGAAAUCAAAUCAAAUUAAAUAAUG